rnacentral:lncRNA from 1 species
AAAAAGAUGGCAAAUUUAGGGUUGGUGACUGUGAAGCAGAAGUUGUAUAUUAAUUGGGUUUUGGUUUGAGAAUUAAACACACAAAAACUGAGAUGGCUAGAACCACUCUUUCUUCCCUGUCUUUAUUUUUCUGUAUUCUCCUCAUAAUUACCUUCAGUUUCUUCGUGCAACCAAUUCCAGUAAGAACAGGUUUGUCUCUGUUACUGAAUCAUCCAAAACGUAAAUUAAAGAGGAGAUUUAUAAAUAGAUUUUGUAAGAUUAAAUUAGUUUUUAAAUUUAUUUGGAAUCAUUUUGUAAAAGUAAGAUUUCUGAAAACUGUUAUGAUAUGAAUUUGCAGAACUGAAAAUAAGGGGUCCCAAGCCAAGACCACCUCCUUCACCCACGCCUAACUGGCGCCCAGUUCCUGGUCAUCCUCCAUCCAACCAUGGCUGAAAUAUUACCACAAAUCGUAAGGGCUUCAAGUUUUCUUCGAUUCUCAUUUUUGUUAUCAACUUUUACUGUAUUAGGUUUUAUGUUAUAAAUAACACUGUGUAAGACCACGAAAGGAUUUACCCGUCCAUGUUAUAGAAUAUUAUAGAUUAUAAGGAAAUUAAAACCUUUUUAUUAUUGAUUUUAUUUUUACUGGGAUUUUAGCAAUCGAUUACCAAAAGUAUGGUUAGGAAUUGGAUAAUUAUUCAUAAUAAUUUUGUGCAUUAAUUCCUUCAGUGAUUGAAAUAAUUAUUAAAUAUGAGCACGUAUUUACUUUUUACGUUAAUAAAAGCUUAAAAAUAUAAGAUUAAGGGAAAAUAUCAUCAGACAAAGUUAAUAAAACAAGAAACAAAACAUAUAGGCGAAAGUAAUCCAAAAAGUUAAAGCCGAUGAUAGUGUUUAGGGAACAACUAAAGUAGAUUUCGACCCAAAUAUGCCCAAUGGAAUGCAAAAUAAACUUUAUACGUAGACUGGCUCAUUACAUAUAAAUGUAUUUGUUGAAAAAUAAAUUUUUACGAGAAAUGCAUUUAAAUAAGACAAAUAAAUAAAUAAAAUAUAUUUUUACUCUAAUUAUUUUUAGUUUAUUUUGGUUCACUGCUUCUGUCUUAAUUAGGAAAGUUGUUAAAAUUUCUUUUUAUUGAAAAAAAUUAUUUACAAAAAAUAGACUGGUUCACUAGUCAGUCAUGAAAUGAUGCUUCCACUAAAAUUAAAAUUGAUAAUCUCAGAAUUAGCUAUGCCAUUUUUUUUAUAAAUUUGAAAACAUAUUAUUAAUUAAAAUUAAGAACUUAAAGUAAAAAUGGAAAAUAUUUUGAAACUAUCAAUUUAUUUGUUCUUAAUUUAACAUUUAAAUAUUUACUUCUUAUUAAGAUUUUUCACCCUCCAUUUGAUUUAAUUUAAUGGACAAAGAUUAAUUUCUAAUUAGAUACUUAAAUUAAAUUAAAAGAAAACUACAAAUAAAGAUGGAAAGUAAGUUUUUUAAGUUGCUCUGAAAAUAGUUUCAUCUUUUCUCUUUUCUAUAUGUAACUCUACUUUUAAUGAUAAUUGUAAUAUCCCAAAAUAUGUGUAUAAUUCAUAUCAAGUGGAAUGCAACAUAUUAUAAUAACAGAAAGCAAUUAAGAGUAGUAGCAGAUGAAGUGUAUAUAAUACAGUCAUCCAAAAUAUGAUAUAAGCUCUACAUAUCAGCAUAGAGUCUUUCAAAAGGGAAAAGAGUAAAGAAGACUAAGUUAUACACAAACAAAAGAACUGAGCUACACUACUCUGCAGCAUCAGCAGUAUCAGGAACAUCUGGAACGUCUAGUAGCUGCUCCAGUGGGGCCUCUGAAACUUCUGCUCACAUCCAAUUAGGAUGAUCAUUGCAAAAGAAAACAAGCACAAACAAGACAUACAUCAAACAAAGCAAGGGUAAGCUAGAAUUCAAAAGAAUACAAAUCAAUUUAAAUUAAACAAGGUAAAAGAGACAUACAAGCAAUUGCAAUCAUAGAAGGACAACUUUAAUAGAUUAUGAGUUAUAGUUUUUUUAGGUAGCGUUAGACUUAGACUCGUCCGGACCCGGAAUAAAUAUCGAGCUAUGGCGAGUUAUGCACUUGUGGUGGCCUCUACUGCUUUGCAAAGCCAUUGCCAAUGGGUUUCACCCUACCACACACAAGGUUAGUCCGUUAUCACUCACCUUGGCCCAUAUACAAUGGAGACAACCAAGACUAGGACCCCCUACUGCUCUUCACUACAUGAACUAAUCUUCUCUAAGUGAGAUUGAAUAGUCAUUAGAGCUUUAAGGGAAACCCCCAAGACUGAGCUACCUAUAUUCAUUCCAGAAACUUAACUUAAUAUCACUCAUUCUUGGCCCAUAUAAAAUAGAGACACCCAAGACUGAGCUUCCUAUAUUCAUUCUCAAACUUAAUAUAAUCUCACCGCGAGAUACUACUUAAAUCAUUAUAUCAUAUUACACCACAUGGAACACAAUCAUUCUUUAGUUAUGUCACAAAAACAACUUAUACAUACUCAGACAUUAUAUAUUUUCACAAAACAUCACUUAUUAACACAAUUAUCUUUAUAAUCUUUAAUUACCCAUACUUAAGUAAUUCAAAUAGCUUGGAGACCCUCACCAAUGGCUCCGGAAGAGUCAAAACCCCCCAGAUUGACCUAAAGAACGUCCAGAAAUGAUACCCGGAACCACUAGAACCACUCAAAACUGUCCUGGAUGAUUUCCUGACAACAAUAAUCGAUUAUUGCAUAUAAUAAUCGAUUAUUACAUAUGAUAAUCGAUUAUUACACAUGAUAAUCGAUUAUUUAAGUGAACUUUGAAGAAAAUAUGAUGUUCUGACUAGAAUAAUCGAUUAUCAAGUGAGAUAAUCGAUUAUUCUUAUCAGUAUUUGACAACAACCUUAUUUUAGUGCAUCUNAGACACUUUGAUGAGUUUCAAACAAUCCUAGAUUGAUUUAUAUGAUGAUUUGAACUUGUCUAGAUGAUUAUAGCUAUUCUUAAUCUCAUUCUUUAAUGGUUAGGCAUUGAUUCAUACUCAAAAACUUAGAUUUCAACAACUUAAAGACUCACUCUCAUACCUAACACUUAGAAACUGUUUUGGACCAGUUUAGGGACUCUAACAGGUCCCAAUUUACUUACCUAGACCAUCCCAAUUGACCAAUUUAGCUCCCAACCCCAAUUGUCCAAUUUGACUACCUCACUUCCCUUAGACUAACCUAAAACACCAUAACCAACUUAUCUUUUUGUUUAAUAACUUGUAUAAUAUCAAUCAUAACACUUGAAUACUAAAUUUCAUCAUCACAUAUUACCCAUACCAGUUCCUAAUCAUCCUUUCACAGAUUCACAGUCUCAUAAGUCACACAUUUAUAGGCACAUACUCAACAUACAAUUUCAUCAAAUAUCAAUUCAAACAGGAACACCUUUCAUCUAACAUUUCACACAUGAAUCAUUCAUAAACAUCACUAAAUCUAAUUCAAUGCAUACAAUUAUUUCACAAUUACAAACCAAAAUCCUUGCUUCCCUUACCUCUGUUUCACAGCAUAGUAUGACAGAACCUUGCCCGCUCUCUUGCACCCCAAGAAAAUACUAGGAUUACCUAUAGAUCAUAAAUUGAAGAUGGAAAACAAUUUCUUAAUUUUCAAUUGAGCUAAGAAAUUUGAAGAAGAGAACUGUUAAACACAUGCAAGCAAAACUGUUGCAUGAUCACAGUCCAGAAAAUACAGGGAAAAUAGGGAAAACGCUUACCGGAGGAAAAACACCGAAUUGAUCGGUUGAAUUCGAAGCCUAUAACUCCAGGACUGCUUAGGUGCUUCCAGAUUGUUGAACAAUUGACUUAGUGAGAAAAAAUCCUAGAGAGAUUAGAGAGAGAAUGAAAGGGUUAUGUUUCUAGAGAGAAGAAGAAGAGCACGUUUGAAGAGAAGUAGUGUUCUAUCUGAUAAUGGGUUGAACUUAGAAAGUUUUAAGUUAAAAUUGUUUCACUAAUAAUGACUCAGCCCAUUGUGUUGCCACGAGUCCAACCCCAACUGCUCUCUUUUUCUCAGACUUUACAAUAAUACUUUUUAUAAUGUUUCCUUCAUAAAAAUAUUUUAUAUGAUAUUAUUUCUAUAAUUUCUUACGUUCAAAGUCUCACACAAUUUAGAGUUUAGAUAAAUAGUAAUUUAAAUAUAUUUUAUUUUUUUAAUUUUUGAGGUGUUUAACGAAAGUGUAAUAGAACUUCAAUUUACAAAAUCAACAAUAUUUAUAACGAUGUUAUCUCAAUGAAUUUCGAGAUUCAAAAGUCGAAUACUUAUUAAAAAAAUGAAUGAAAAAAAUUAUUCUAAGACGAAAUUUUGUAUAUUGCUUAGAAUGAUUAAGAGUUUAUAUACACAUAGAUACUUUUAAUGGUGACUUUUUGAAGUGGUACCAAUUAUAAAUAAUUCAUAUUGUAGUAUGAUUAUGCAAAAAUUGAAAACUAGUCAAUUUUUUUCUGUUGAUUUUUCCUACGAAAACGUGUUCCCUUUUUAAUUUUUCUGUAGGAAAUUUCAUCGAAAGCUCAAAGAGAAGCAAAAUUUUGGAUUGGUAACUAUGAAACAGAAGUCAUAUAUUAAAUGGGUUUAGGUUUCUAGAUUGAACACACAUAAAUCGAGGAUGGCCAGAAUCACUAUUUCUUUUAUGUCUUUGUCUUUCAUUAUUCUCCUCAUAACCACCUUCACUUUGUUCAUCCAACCAGUUCCAGUUAAAGCAGGAUUAUCUCCAUCAUUAAAUCAUCCAAUCUACUUGUGUUUUUUAUAUUAUUAUAUUAUCAUUCUCUAAAUAGUAUCAAUAUUCAUUUAAAAAAAGAAUCGUGUUGACUCUUUUUAAUAAAAAAUGAAAACUAUAUUGAAAUGAGAAAAAAAAAAUUCAAACACUACAUUAAAUAAUUUUAACGAAAAUUAGGAUAAAAGAGACCAUUAAAGCAAUAUGAUGAAAAUCUCAUCUCUCAUUAGGCAUCCUAUGUGAUUAUUAUUUUAUAUUAAUUCUUUUUUUUCAAUUAAAAAACUCAUAAUAAUUAUAAGGAUAAUGAUAUUUAGAUAAUAUUUUUUUGACAAUAUUUAAACAUUGAUUACGUGUCAAUCUGUGAUUGGUCAAAAAUUACUCCACAAUCAAUAAUAAUAAUCAUAAACAUUACAUUAUUGUGGAGUAAUUUAAAUCAUAAAUAUUAUUGUGGAGUAAUUUUUGACCAAUCACAGAUUGACAUAUAAUCCAUGUUCAAAUGUUGUCUAAAUAUCAUUAUCCUAGUUAUAAAUGUAUAAUAAUUAAAUUUGAUUGAAAUAUAUGUGUAUAUUAUUGAGAUGAUGAAAGUUGUUUAAAUUUGUAGAUUUGAAGAUGAGAAAGUUGGGUGUUCAAUCAAGCCCACCUCCUCCACCCAGUUUAGGCUCACAAACACAUGUUAGACGACGAGUUAUUCCUUCACCUCCACCUCCGAUUUCCAUGGCAUAAGAUCUUCCAUUAUUAAUCAUCUAUGCUCCUUCAUCUACUUUCUUUCUAUCAUUUCUUUCACUGCUUUAUUUUAUACACUAUCCAC